CCUACGGGAGGCAGCAGUGAGGAAUAUUGGUCAAUGGACGCAAGUCUGAACCAGCCAUGCCGCGUGCAGGAAGACGGCUCUAUGAGUUGUAAACUGCUUUUGUACGAGGGUAAACGCAGAUACGCGUAUCUGUCUGAAAGUAUCGUACGAAUAAGGAUCGGCUAACUCGGUGCCAGCAGCCGCGGUAAUACGGAGGAUUCAAGCGUUAUCCGGAUUUAUUGGGUGUAAGGGGUGCGUAGGCGGUCGGAUAAGUUAGUGGUGAAAUCCCGGGGCUCAACUUCGGAAUUGCCUCUGAGACUGUUCGGCUAGAGAGUAGUUGCGGUAGGCGGAAUGUAUGGUGUAGCGGUGGAAUGCGUAGAGAUCAGAAAGAACACCGAUUGCGAAGGCAGCUUACCAAGCUACUUCUGACGUUGAGGCACGAAAGCGUGGGGAGCAAACAGGAUUAGAUACCCUUGUAGUC
rnacentral:rRNA from 1 species